rnacentral:rRNA from 1 species
GACGAACGCUGGCGGCGUGCCUAACACAUGCAAGUCGAACGAUGAAGCAGAGAAACGCGCACUUCGGUUCAAAUUUCACUUCGGAUUAGUGGCAGACGGGUGAGUAACGCGUGUGCAACCUACCUCUUACAAAGGGAUAGCCUCGGGAAACCGUGAUUAAUACCAUAUGACACCUUCAUAAGGCAUCUUAAGAAUGUUAAAGCUACGGCGGUAAGAGAUGGGCUCGCGUCCCAUUAGCUAGUUGGUGAGGUAACGGCCCACCAAGGCGACGAUGGGUAACCGGGCUGAGAGGGUGAACGGUCACAGUGGAACUGAGACACGGUCCAAACUCCUACGGGAGGGAGCAGUGGGGAAUAUUGCACAAUGGAGGGAACUCUGAUGCAGCGACGCCGCGUGAGCGAUGAAGGAAUUCGUUUCGUAAAGCUCUGUUCUAUGGGAAGAAAAGGACUGUACCAAAGGAGAAAGCCCCGGCUAAAUACGUG